AUUGAACGCUGGCGGCAUGCCUUACACAUGCAAGUCGAACGGCAGCACGGGAGCAAUCCUGGUGGCGAGUGGCGAACGGGUGAGUAAUAUAUCGGAACGUGCCCAGUCGUGGGGGAUAACGUAGCGAAAGCUACGCUAAUACCGCAUACGAUCUAUGGAUGAAAGCGGGGGAUCGCAAGACCUCGCGCGAUUGGAGCGGCCGAUAUCAGAUUAGGUAGUUGGUGGGGUAAAAGACUACCAAGCCUUCGAUCUGUAGCUGGUCUGAGAGGACGACCAGCCACACUGGAACUGAGACACGGUCCAGACUCCUACGGGAGGCAGCAGUGGGGAAUUUUGGACAAUGGGCGCAAGCCUGAUCCAGCAAUGCCGCGUGCAGGAUGAAGGCC
rnacentral:rRNA from 1 species